UGUGAAACUAGAGAGGGGUCCAAAGGCAAGGUCCAUAGAAAACACACGCACUUAAUAUCUGCAAAGGAGAGAGAGACAGGGGGAGAGAGAGGGAGGGGAGACGCCGAGAGUGGAGACCCAGCGCGCAAAAUGCAGGUCCCCUGCGCACUUGGCGCAAAUGCCUCACCGCGUCAAUGCGCUUCAGCAGUUGAGGAUAUUCAAGGAUACAAACGUGAGGUGAAAGUAAAAUCCCCGAAACGCGCUCAUGUCACGAGAAGAAUGAGCACGAAGCAGACGACGUGCGUCACUGGCUCUGGCUCGUGCCUGCAGGGCAGGCCCCAUGCUGAGUGGCAGAUGCUGUGGAGGUUCACCUUGGAGGCGAAGGGAGUUCAAAUAUGCGCACACAAACGAAGGCACGGAGCCACCGAGCGUCGUGUGACGUUCCGUCCGUGAGUAUUGCACGCAGGAAAGGCUGGGGCCCAGCUGGAGCCUGGCAGCGCAGCUAUGGCUCCCCCUAGCCGUCCGUCCGUGCUUCCUCGUUAAUGCACACCAUACUGCCCUGACCCUCCCUGUUCAACCACUCCUAAAAGAACCCAAAAUACACCUGACGACCUCCGCUUCUGCCACUAAAUGCGGAAUAUACCGUCUCCAUCGGCCUCUCAGCCGCCAUUGGGCUCUAUUGGCGGCGCCAGAACAGAGGAUUUCUUACCUUUUGACAGUGGCUCAGUCUGUACAGUACCUCCUUCCCCAAAGUCCCAACCUCGACAGCCUCCUUCUUCUUCCCAGCAAUCCCUGCAAAAAGGACACGUCCAUGUAAGAUGAAUAUGUGGGGGUGAUCAAAUUGGACUGAAUUGAUUCUAAAGAGCCCCGAAAGGCCCCAAAACCCGAAUAUAGCCGUUUGGGCCUUAGACAAACCUACUCGCCAAAAUGCGUUGGUUAAAUGACAUGUGAAUAGUCUUAAACAGCAAACCCCCUCCCCAUAGAUACUUGAUGCUACCCCUAUGAUUUCUACUUAUUUUGGUCCAUUCAGUAGUCAUACAGUUGAUACUGCACCGCUGUCGCCCGUCAGUGCGCAGCUGAACUCUCGGAGACUUUUUGUUUCCUUUUGCGCGUUUCCUGAACUCUGGAGAAUAUCUGGGAGACUGCACACAUCCUGUUGAAGGGAUUUGGGCGUCCGAGAGGCUGCUUUCUUGAGGAAUUGACCAAAAUAGCUCGACGAAAAAUAUUUAAAUAAGCGCAAAAUCCAGCGACGCGACGGGAAACUUAUGGAUCCAAACGGACAUCUCCAAAUGUGCACAGGUGUAUCCAAAGACACAAAGAGCUUUCCAAAGGCUCCAAGAGCAAAAAAGAAGAGCGUGUCCAGCUUAAAUUGUAUUUUUAAUAACAAUCCGACCUUAAAUUUACCAGCUAUAGCAAAAAAAUUAAAACUGCUAUCAAAAAAUGUCGUUUUAACGCAACGGGUGUGAAGGAGUACCAAUUGGCGCAAAGGAACUACAUAGACGUAAGUUUCUAUUUUAUAAUUUUUAAAACAUGCUACGCUCAAAUAGAUAUUUAUUCAUCCUGAAAGUCGCGUAGAAUAAAUAAUGCCCGUUUAAUUGGCCGUCAAUUAGACAUAAAGCGGACAAAAACGCACCCCUUCCAGUGCGCCACAGCCGGCCGGUCCUUCCUCCAGUCUAGUCCUUAUCAAGCGUUGAUUAAACAUGGAUUCCUACGACUCUAGCGUUAAAAUAUAAAACGUUAUUACCACGAAAACACCUGCAAACCGACUCACUGCGUCUGUGUGAGGGAGUAACUGCGCCGACGGUUGACGCGGUUUCCCUCAUAAUAAACCUCCAUGCAAAUUGUGUUGGCAGCUGCCGUUAAAGGAUCCUGCUCCGUUCACAGCCAAACUGAGGUCGGAUGUUUACGUCCUGUGUUACAACAGCACUUAAACAAAGGGCGUUUGCCUUCCUGUCGUGUCCAGACCUGAGUCCUGAGCAGGUCAACGACCCCCGUCAGAAAUACCCAGCCGCGGGCGGCAGAAACUCACGAGGAGAUCUGUGCUGUCUGUGGUGGAAAAACAGGAGUGAAUGAGCCGAUUGUCUGUCGGAAACGACAAAGUGCCCGUUCUGUGCUCAAAAGCGGCUGUUGACGCCGCACAUGGGCGCAUGUGCAGCCUUUAUUUAGCGCCACAUCACAGCCGGAGCUCCAACCGGACGCACGCGUGUCCUCGCUGCGCAUUUGCCGCAGCAGCUGUCAGACAGAUCAGGUUUCAUGCUGGAGUCUAUGAGCCAUGUAUGUUAAGUCCUAUAUGAUACUACUGGACUACACUUGUGCAAGAUCAGCUGUGGGUCGAGCUGCGGUCGUGAUGCUUAAUGUAUAGUGUCCCGACAAACAGCCUCUGUUGCAAAACGUCCUUGUGUGGAUUCCUUUUCUAACUGGGGGCAAAAGGAGAGGUUCAGGUUCCAAGUAAAGCAUCGACGCUCAGAGGCAGAGACGUGUGCAAAUGAAACAUCUUAAUAUAGACGAAGCUUUAAUGAAGUAAAACCCCUCGUCUUUAUCUCUAAAAUUGCUUCACAAAUCUGUUAACGUCUGUGAGACAUCGCAGAAUCAUCAGUUACAAACGAAGCGUGAGAAAUUGAAAUACUGUUUGUUUAUUGUAACUUCCAGGUAAAAUACAUCGUCACGUUCAUCAACUCAAAUUUUACCAAACAGAAAAUAAAUGUUGGUGCAUUUGUUUAAGAAAUAACUAGAGCCAAAUGUUGGCAUCCAUUAAUAGGAAAACCAAAACAAUCGGAUUUAAUUUUUGAUCAAAUGCAUUUAAAAAAUAGCAACGAAUGAAUGAGCAUUGGAUUAGAUGCGGGUUGUAGUUACAUGUGUUGGACUGAAGGGGCGCUGCAUUUCCACUCUAGCUCUUUAUUACCUCGUUCAAAAGCUUAGCGUCUUCAACUACAUUCAAUGUAUUCAAUGUCACUGUAACAAAGAAGAAUCCGGAGUUGGUUGCAUGAUGUGAAUGCAGUGUUCUCAGGUAAUAGCUGCAUGAUUUAACUUUGGAAGUUUCAAAUGUAAACACUAGGUCGAAACUAUUGGGCGUCACAUCAUAAAACCUGAAAAAAGCCUAGAACUUGUUUUUAUUGUAUUAUGAGUAGCUAAUAACCAAAAUACAAACAUUUACACAUUUAGUUUAGUGUCUGCAGGAAUCAACUGCACAUUAUUCCUCCACUGUUGGUGUGGGAUCCUCCUGUCUUAGGCGUUUCCCCUGAUGCCUCUUUGUGCUGCAGCAGGUGUCCGUACUCAGGUCGGUGGCGAGCGAUUUUUCGGGCAUAGUAUCUCUUGGACGCAGCUCUCCACGCCUCCCUCUGCAGCAUCUGAGACUCUUCAGGCAGCUCAGAGAUGAGCGACCUCCUCCUUCUCUCCAGAAGCGACAUGGGCGGUGAAUAGUGAGAAGCUGGGAUGUGGGGAAAGGGGCUGGAGUGUGAAGGGUCUGCCUGCUGACGGGCCACUUUCCGGGCAUAAUAGCGUCUGGAAGCCGCCCUCCAGGCCGCCCUCUUCAGUCUCUGGGCCUCCUCCGGUAGCUCUGACAUCGGCACAGGCUUCUUCCUAUUCCUACGGCGGUCAAGAGAUGAGAAAGGACCACACAAGAUUGUACUGUAAGUUCACUAAACAUUUCAAAGAAUAAUUUUUCAAAUGUAUGAAAUAACAAUGCUUUAACUUACAUCCCAAAAGGAUUUUACAAGGUUCAACUAAACUAACAAAUUGUUCGAGACUGGAAUGAAAAUUGUUUUUCCCAGUUUAAAGAAAAAAAAACUUCUCACAGUAGUGGGGGAUAUGUCAUUGUUCCAAUAACUUAUAACGAUCUUUAAAUCUAACCUUAUUUUCUGAAAGCUGAAAGAUUGCUGCAGUGACAUAGGGCAGUAGUUAUAGAAACAUUUGUUCAUGAUGGAAUUUUUGUGGAGCUGGUAGCUGUAACUGUAAACCACAGGUAUUUAGCUCAUGUGUCACAUGUACUGUAACAACUCACCUCAGGUUAUCCCCCUCUGCGACAUGGUGAUCUUCAGGCUCCGCUUGAGGUUUCUCAUUGAUCUUUGUUUUCUCUCUGCUCUCUUGUUUUGUAAAAGUCAGAAAAGAUGAACAGAGUUUUAGUUCCACGAACCACGCUGAUGAAUUUAAACUCUCAUGCUAUACUGUAAUUAAUUGAAAAGAAGCAUCAAUAAAAAGAGUGUUCUCUGGUUAAAAUGCUAUAGGUUUGACAGAUUCUAUACUACCAGGUUCCAUACCCAACCAUAGUAUAAUUAAAUCUGUAUGACAGAAGAAGAAAUGAAAUAAACUCCUGUAACAUGUGAAUGUAUGAUGGUAAAUAAAAGAAAAAUAUAUUA